rnacentral:tRNA from 1 species
GCCCGGGUGGUGAAAUUGGUAGACACAAGGGACUUAAAAUCCCUCGGUAUUGUAUACCGUGCCGGUUCGACUCCGGCCCUGGGCACCA